rnacentral:lncRNA from 1 species
GGAAAGACGUCAAGACGAGAAAGAAAAGAGGACGGCUUUGCUUCAUCUGCGACCCACAAGAGGCCCGCCGGGUGACGUACCUCUUACGGGCGUCGCCAUUGCGGCGCAUACGGGCGUGCGUGCGUGUGCCCUCUGGAAUUUCCCGUGCCCCGUCUGUCGGAUUCUCUCUCGGCGCGCUCUGGCGGGCGUGCCUUGUGCUGCAGCCCCUGGUCUGCGCCUGCGAUCUCACGCAGGGUACAAUACACCGUGCCGUCCAGUGCGAAAACAAAAAAAAGGGGACAAAGAGUUGGCCGAUGCAGACAGUGGCUGGGUCGUCCCCCUCCCCCGCGUCGAAAAGCAGACACCCAAAACUGUUUUCCUCUUUUUUGUAUAAAAAAUGAUUUUUUCCUUUUUUUUUCUCCUCUAUUUUCUCACAAUCUCUCAUUUUUCUAGUUGCGGCCUGCGACGGCAUGCCUGUGAGCGCUGGCGGCGACGCCGCGAAAAAAGAGACGGCCGACGCACAGGGCAGAGCAUUGUCCCAUCCGAGGCAAAGACGACACUCGGCCAGACGGUCAGGGCGACGGAUCCAUGGUCAGGAGCGUGGCAAAGGCCUCGGGACCGAGACCGAGCGCGCAGCGCGCCGGCGACAGGAUCUCGGCCAGCAUGCGCACGGAACGACUCUGUGUGGCGGCAUCGCCGUCGUCGCGGUCGUUCUCAUCUAUGUUGUUGGCGAGGGCGUGCGCCACGGCGGCGCGCAGCGCGUCGGCAUAGGCACGUCGGUCGGCG